AGAGGGAGUAGGCCUGGCAGAGGCAGGAAGUAAUCAGCGCUAUUGCGGCCAGUCUUGAAUAGGGUUGAAUGUGAUGGGUCAUUCCAGUUGACCUGUGAUGGUGCUUACGCUCAGUCUAACAUCAUGGAAGAUUCCAACUGAACCCUAGAAGAAGGCAUACCUAAGGAUGGAGAGAAAAGUGACAGCCAAACAAGGACCUCAAAGCUUGAAGAAUAUUAGAGCUGAUGGAGAAUUGACAGGAGAGAAGAGAAGUCUAGACACUAUUACCAGCAUGAUGAAAGGAAGAAGAAACUACUCCCUCCUCAAUACUCAAGAGACAUACUGAUUGGACCCAGCUCGGCGCCAUCAUCUCCUGAUAAGAAAGAAAGUCCUUGGAACUAUAGCUCACUUCCAUAGAGCCCAUGUAAGCUAGAGAAAGCCACCCUUGGAGUCACUGCUGGUUUCAGCUCCAUUAAGAAGCUCUGACUGAAGUAAAAACAGAAACUCAUCAACAGAUGAGUUUUCCAAGAGAGUGAAACCUCCAGG